UGUAGAUUCAUAUUUCUCCUCAGAGCUAAAAAUACCUUUAUAUUUGAAGACUCUCCUUUGAGUUUACAUCCCUCAGGACGACAGCACUGAACUGCCUGGAGGGGCUUUUGUGAACAGAGAACUCACUAAAUGUGAUCACAACAUACUUUACAGCAUGAGUUAUCCCACAUGGCAAUUUGGAUCUGGGAGCAUCCAUCCUGCGCAGCUGUCCUGGAGCCAAUUUUGUGGUGUUAAGAAAAUCCCCCAAAUCCUCAUGGCAAGCCGCAAUUACAGAUAAAUUGUUUUGUGCCUAGAGCCUGCCACAGAGAAAAUAAAAUUAAAAUGGCCUCUUUCAUGUGUACUGACCCCGACUCUUCACUCUAAACUCUGCACUGACUUGGCACUGAACAUUCGGGCAAUGUUCACACUGCAUCAAUUUUUUUUGCCUACAAACCUUUGGGAGAUAAAGCAAAGGGGUUGGGUGUGGGUUGAAGGCUGGUAACAGCUGCACAUAGACACAAACAACUUGCUCACCUUAUUUCCGUGGUGUCAGCAUCUCUCCCCAAUCUGAAGCUUCAAAAUGA